ACAAGGGGCCUAGAUGCUUUUUCAAUCUCCCCUUUUUUGGUGAUUGAUGACAACACAAUUAAAGCUUACACAUGAUUGAUAAAAAUAAUAUUUUAAAUCCUUUGAUAUAGUGAGCACCACAAAAUGCGUGGAAUGAAUGCAUUUCAAACUUUUGGCCUCAAAUGCCAAAUGCACAUAUUUAAGUUAACUUGUGUGAGCUCCAAUAUAUCUUAGAAUCCAUGGGGUGCGAGGUGUUAACAUGAUAACCGUGAUGCACAUGUGAUUUCACCCAAUGAACUAGAGAUCAACAUUAUACCACUCAAGGUAUGAACAUCACAUUCUAUCAUGAGAGGUCCUUAGUAAAGAUACCAAUUGAAGUUUAUCCUUGCACACGUAACACAAGUAUAAAAAUCUUAUAUGCUUCUCCCUUACCCC
rnacentral:lncRNA from 1 species